rnacentral:rRNA from 1 species
UCUACUUCAACUGCACCAGCACCUCCAUCCGGUGCCACCUCCAGCCGUGAUACAAGAAAACAGGCACAACCACCAUUAUCUGCCAAGAGCGCACCUGCGGGGCCUGCACAGCGUUCUUCUUCUUCCAUGGCAUCAACAGGGCACACAAGUGAUAUUAUUUGUCGUCGUUGUAAGGGAGGAGGUCAUUAUGCGAGGGAAUGCAAAUCUCCGCGUGUGAUGAUUGCUACUGCGGAUGGUGGAUAUGAGUCUGCUAGUGACUAUGAUGAGGAGACAUUGGCUCUUAUUACACGUGAAGAACAUGGUGGAGAUGAUUCUGAUCAUGAGACGCAAUACAUG